rnacentral:snRNA from 1 species
GGCGACUCGCGAAAGCCCA